rnacentral:rRNA from 1 species
CGCAGCAGGCGCGAAAACUUUACAAUGCGGGAAACCGUGAUAAGGGGACACCGAGUGUCAGCAUCAUAUGCUGGCUGUCCAGGUGUGUAAAAUACACCUGUUAGCAAGGGCCGGGCAAGACCGGUGCCAGCCGCCGCGGUAACACCGGCGGCCCGAGUGGUGAUCGUGAUUAUUGGGUCUAAAGGGUCCGUAGCCGGUUUGGUCAGUCCUCCGGGAAAUCUGAUAGCUCAACUAUUAGGCUAUCGGGGGAU